AACGAACGCUGGCGGCAGGCCUAACACAUGCAAGUCGAGCGCCCCGCAAGGGGAGCGGCGGACGGGUGAGUAACGCGUGGGAACGUGCCCUUUGCUACGGAAUAGCCCCGGGAAACUGGGAGUAAUACCGUAUAAGCCCUACGGGGGAAAGAUUUAUCGGCAAAGGAUCGGCCCGCGUUGGAUUAGGUAGUUGGUGGGGUAAUGGCCUACCAAGCCGACGAUCCAUAGCUGGUUUGAGAGGAUGAUCAGCCACACUGGGACUGAGACACGGCCCAGACUCCUGCGGGAGGCAGCAGUGGGGAAUCUUAGACAAUGGGCGCAAGCCUGAUCUAGCCAUGCCGCGUGAGCGAUGAAGGCCUUAGGGUUGUAAAGCUCUUUCGUGGGGGAAGAUAAUGACUGUACCCCAAGAAGAAGCCCCGGCUAACUCCGUGCCAGCCGCCGCGGUAAGAC
rnacentral:rRNA from 1 species